UAACCUGCCCAUCAGAGGGGGAUAACAUUCGGAAACGGAUGCUAAAACCGCAUAGGUUCUACAGUCGCAUGACUGAAGAAGGAAAAGAGGCUUCGGCUUCUGCUGAUGGAUGGACCCGCGGUGCAUUAGCUAGUUGGUGAGGUAACAGCUCACCAAGGCCGUGAUGCAUAGCCGACCUGAGAGGGUGAUCGGCCACAUUGGGACUGAGACACGGCCCAA
rnacentral:rRNA from 1 species